rnacentral:rRNA from 1 species
UAGGGAAUAUCAGAAAUGGACGAAAGUCUGAUCUAGCAACACCGCGUGUGCGAAGAAGGCCCUCGGGCUGUAAAGCACUUUUUGGAAGGAUUAGGAAGGAAUGUACUUCCAGAAUAAGUCUCGGCUAACUACGUGCCAGCAGCCGCGGUAACACGUAGGAGGCAAACGUUAUCCGGAUUUACUGGGCGUAAAGCGCGUGUAGGUGGUUCUGUAAGUAGGGCGUGAAAGCUCCUGGCUCAACUGGGAGAGGCCGUUCUAAACUGCAGAGCUAGAGGAUGGUAGAGGGAGGGUGAAUUCCGGGUGUAGCGGUGGAAUGCGCAGAUAUCCGGAGGAACACCAGUGGCGAAAGCGGCCUCCUGGACCGUUCCUGACACUCAGACGCGAAAGCUAGGGUAGCAAACG